rnacentral:lncRNA from 1 species
GGGUGCUUGGGGCGCUCAGCCAUCUUGACUGAGUACAUGUCGAGGGGCGUCCUCGCCCUGCGCCUCGCUGAGGGACCCGAGCGCCGAUGUCCCCGUCGACCCGUGACUCCCCACAAAUCCCACAGCCGAGGCCUAACAAGUUUCAACUGUCACUGAGGACAGCGGCCACUUCGAAGAGCAGAGCACCGGCGAGCGUGAUACGCCCGCUUCCCCACGCACCCUUCGAGUCCUCCAAGAGGGGGCAGGUCGGGCUCGGUGACAGCUGAAAACUUUAUUUCUUAUUUUUUUUUUUCCUGACCUGGAGCGUGCCUUCGGCCUGGGGGCAGGGUUUGCGCAAGACGAAGGCCCGCUCUCGCCCGGCUGAAUGCAGACAUCGAGCGGCACAUGGUGGAUUGGCUGCUCUGAGAAUUGCCUAAAAAAAAAAAAAAAAAAAAACUAAAGUGAAAAAAUAGACAAAGCCAUCUCUAACCUUCGUCGUCUUUCCUAUUUGUUUUGACCGCUCUCGCCGCGCCCCCGAGCCGGCGGCGGGGCUAGCGAAAAGAUGCACCUGAAGCGGGGUCUGCGGGCAGCUGCAUUCGCCAGGCGCCUCGCUCGCCGCCUUGCAGCGGCGGAGGCGCAGCGGCAGUGGCGGCGAGGCCGCGCGAGGCUCCCCGGCGGCGGCGGCGGCGGCGGCACCGGCACCAGCGCAGUUUCCCCUCUCCCCAGCCCUGACUCUACGCGCACAUGCGCACUGCGCCCGCAGCCCUGGACCAUUUGUCAGGACUACUCGUGAGACGGAGAAAAAAAAAAGCGAAAAUUUGGGGCUCGGCCCACAGCGCGACCGUGAGAGAAAGUUUGAAAGCGGCCGGUUUCCUCCCCGCCGGCCCCGAGAAGGGGAAGGGGUGUCAGUCGGUCCGUUUGCUCUUCGAAGGAGGUGGGGGUAACGAGCUGUGUUCCGGGGUCGCGAAGACGGUGGCACUUACCCCACCCUUCCCCGGGGAGAAGGAGCGAUCUCGGCCCUUCCCUCUCCUUGCAUCCCUUGGCCGGCGCCUUGACCACCGCGGGACCAGCGCCAGAGGAAGGCAUUAA